UUGAACGCUGGCGGCAGGCCUAGCCCAUGCAAGUCGAACGGUAACAGGAAGCAGCUUGCUGCUUUGCUGACGAGUGGCGGACGGGUGAGUAAUGUCUGGGAAACUGCCCGAUGGAGGGGGAUAACUACUGGAAACGGUAGCUAAUACCGCAUAACGUCGCAAGACCAAAGAGGGGGACCUUAGGGCCUCUUGCCAUCGGAUGUGCCCAGAUGGGAUUAGCUAGUAGGUGGGGUAACGGCUCACCUAGGCGACGAUCCCUAGCUGGUCUGAGAGGAUGACCAGCCACACUGGAACUGAGACACGGUCCAGACUCCUACGGGAGGCAGCAGUGGGGAAUAUUGCACAAUGGGCGCAAGCCUGAUGCAGCCAUGCCGCGUGUAUGAAGAAGGCCUUCGGGUUGUAAAGUACUUUCAGCGGGGAGGAAGGGAGUAAAGUUAAUACCUUUGCUCAUUGACGUUACCCGCAGAAGAAGCACCGGCUAACUCCGUG
rnacentral:rRNA from 1 species